rnacentral:rRNA from 1 species
CGGGUUGUAAACCUCUUUCGGCAGGGACGAAGAUGGACGGGACCCGACCUGCAGAACACGGGUCGCUUCGUUACAGGACACCCGGCGAUAUAAUA